rnacentral:rRNA from 1 species
GACGAACGCUGGCGGCGUGCUUAACACAUGCAAGUCGAACGGAAAGGCCCUGCUUUUGUGGGGUGCUCGAGUGGCGAACGGGUGAGUAACACGUGAGUAACCUGCCCUUGACUUUGGGAUAACUUCAGGAAACUGGGGCUAAUACCGGAUAGGAUCUCCUGCUGCAUGGUGGGGGUUGGAAAGUUUCGGCGGUUGGGGAUGGACUCGCGGCUUAUCAGCUUGUUGGUGGGGUAGUGGCUUACCAAGGCUUUGACGGGUAGCCGGCCUGAGAGGGUGACCGGCCACAUUGGGACUGAGAUACGGCCCAGACUCCUACGGGAGGCAGCAGUGGGGAAUAUUGCACAAUGGGCGGAAGCCUGAUGCAGCAACGCCGCGUGCGGGAUGACGGCCUUCGGGUUGUAAACCGCUUUCGCCUGUGACGAAGCGUGAGUGACGGUAAUGGGUAAAGAAGCACCAGCUAACUACGUG